rnacentral:rRNA from 1 species
GCCUACAGCCAUGCCACCCUGAACACUCCCAAUCUCAUCUGAUCUCGGAAGCUAAGCAGGGUCGGGCCUGGUUAGUACUUGGAUGGGAGACCACCUUGGAAGACAGGUGCUGUAGGCA